GAGGGUAUAGCUCAGUGAUGAGUGUGUGCUUAGCAAACACAAGGUCCUGGGUUCAAUCCCCAGUACCUCUA
rnacentral:tRNA from 1 species